GUAACUGAACUAAAGUGGUCAUAUAAUCUUCCAAGGAAAUUUAUGUGAUUGAGUGGAUGAGACGUCAAAAUUCACAACUAUAUCUUUCCAGAAAGAAAAAAUUCACAACCAUACAGCAACUUUUAAUGCACUAAUGUUGAAAUAUGAAGUCACUGACUUCAAAAAGGAACCAAUUCAGCAACCUCCUUCCAAGUAAUGCAGGUAAGAAGGUCCAUAAAAGUUUCCUUGUUCGAUGAAGAAACAGCUUUGUGGUUAACAUGAGCCAGGGAUAGUGUAUUCUCAGUAGCAUCAGUAUCUCAGCAACAACUAUUUCAGGUUCUCGUCGGAGAAGUUUUUGUAGGGAUGAUUUCCACCGAACUCCAAUUACAAAAUCGGGCUCAGUUUACCAAUUCAUCGACACCACCAAUGUUGAGACAACUCCAAAACCGCCGCCGCCGCCCCACUUCCGGUUGCUAUAGGUUGGGGAGAUGAAGUCCAAUGAUAUGCCCACUAAAGAUUAACCACAAAGGUCACAGUGAAGUGAAGCAAGAAGCCAAGAAGAAAGUAUCACAAAGAGAGAAAAAUAGGCACACUCCAUGG
rnacentral:lncRNA from 1 species